UACGUAGGUGGCAAGCGUUGUCCGGAUUUACUGGGCGUAAAGCGCGCGUAGGCGGCUUUGUAAGUUAGAGGUGAAAGCCCGGAGCUCAACUCCGGAAUUGCCUUUAAGACUGCAUCGCUAGAAUCAUGGAGAGGUGAGUGGAAUUCCGAGUGUAGAGGUGAAAUUCGUAGAUAUUCGGAAGAACACCAGUGGCGAAGGCGAACUCACUGGACAUGUAUUGACGCUGAGGUGCGAAAGCGUGGGGAGCAAACAGGG
rnacentral:rRNA from 1 species